CCCUCCCUUGGACUCUUCAUGGAGAUAUUUUCAGAGCCUAUUUCAUAGGCAUUCGAAACUUGGUCAAACAUUCCUCAUUUCAAUAUUGAUGAAUUCAAAAAUCAUUAUAAAAACUUUUGUAGGAUGUAUUAUUGAAGGGAAGGAUCACAAGCAAACUCACUCUGUAUUCACCAAAAGAAAUCACGUUGAUUAUUGUGGUUGAAUAAAAUAAAUUGGGGAAAGAUAAAAAUCAGUCUGAAAUUUUUCAGUGCCGGAGACGUCUCUGGCAAAUCACAGAGACGUCCCCCCGGCGAGACGUCUCGCAUUAGUCGCGGAGACGUCUCGGGGACCGAACGAAAGU
rnacentral:lncRNA from 1 species